rnacentral:rRNA from 1 species
UACGGGGGGGGGCAAGCGUUGUCCGGAAUUACUGGGCGUAAAGAGCUUGUAGGUGGUUUGUCGCGUUGUUCGUGAAAUCUCACGGCUUAACUGUGAGCGUGCGGGCGAUACGGGCAGACUAGAGUACUGCAGGGGAGACUGGAAUUCAUGGUGUAGCAGUGAAAUGCGUAGAGAUCAUGAGGAAGACCAGUGGCGAAGGCGGGUCUCUGGACAGUUCCUGACACUGAGACACGAAGGCCAGGGGAGCAAACGGG